UACGUAGGGUGCAAGCGUUGUCCGGAAUUAUUGGGCGUAAAGAGCUCGUAGGCGGUUUGUCGCGUCUGCUGUGAAAACUCGGGGCUUAACCCCGGGCCUGCAGUGGGUACGGGCAGACUAGAGUGCGGUAGGGGAGACUGGAAUUCCUGGUGUAGCGGUGAAAUGCGUAGAUAUCAGGAGGAACACCGGUGGCGAAGGCGGCUACCUGGACAGAAACUGACGCUGAGGCGCGAAAGCUAGGGGAGCGAACGGG
rnacentral:rRNA from 1 species